rnacentral:rRNA from 1 species
GCCCAGAUGGGAUUAGCUUGUUGGUGAGGUAACGGCUCACCAAGGCGACGAUCCCUAGCUGGUCUGAGAGGAUGACCAGCCACACUGGAACUGAGACACGGUCCAGACUCCUACGGGAGGCAGCAGUGGGGAAUAUUGCACAAUGGGCGCAAGCCUGAUGCAGCCAUGCCGCGUGUAUGAAGAAGGCCUUCGGGUUGUAAAGUACUUUCAGCGGGGAGG